GGAGAGGUGGGUGAGUGGCUGAAACCACCAGUUUGCUAAACUGGCAUACCUCAACAAGGGGUAUCGCGGGUUCGAAUCCCGCUCUCUCCG
rnacentral:tRNA from 1 species